rnacentral:lncRNA from 1 species
GUCCCCGAAUGUGAAAAAUCUCAGAGAUGAAAAAAUCGGCUAAGUUCCAGAAAACCAGCUCUCGGGAACCGGUCCCUGCGGGGAGAGACCGGUCCCAUCAGGAGGGACCGGUUGCAUCAGGUGAGAGCUCCGCUGAGCUGUGGGAGGGCUCUCUGGGACCGGUCCCAUGCUCGAGAGACCGGUCCUCGGGCGCGAAAAAUGCCCAGUCUGGGCAGUACAAAGAGAUGAAAGUUGAGGGGC